CUUUUUUGGUCGAUGAAUCCUUUGAGUUUCUGCCCCAUCAGUUGUCCACGGGUGUGUAUUGGACUACGGGGACUAUAACGGGUGACGGAAAGUUAGGGCUCGACUCCGGAAAGGGAGCCUGAAAGACGGCUACCAUAUCCCAGGAUAGCAGCAGGCGCGUAAAUUACCCCCUGGGGACUCCACGAGGUAGUGACGAAAAAUAUCGAUGCGAAGCGUGGAUGCGUUUUGCUAUCGGAAUGAGAGCAAUGUAAAACCCUCAUCGAGGAUCAACUGGAGGGCAAGUCUGGUGCCAGCAGCCGCGGUAAUUCCAGCUCCAGAAGCAUAUGCUAAAGUUGUUGCAGUUAAAAAGCUCGUAGUUGAAUUUCUGGCAUGGGCGACCGGUGCUUUCCCUGAAUGGGGAUUGAUUGUCUGUGUUGCCUUGGCCAUCUUUCUCUUUUCUUUUUUGGGGAGAAAUCUUUCACUGUAAUCAAAGCAGAGUGUUCCAAGCAGGUCGUAUGACCGGUAUGUUUAUUAUGGGAUGAUAAGAUAGGACUUGGGUGCUAUUUUGUUGGUUUGCACGCCUGAGUAAUGGUUAAUAGGAACAGUUGGGGGUAUUCGUAUUUAGGAGCUAGAGGUGAAAUUCUUGGAUUUCCGAAAGACGAACUAGAGCGAAGGCAUUUACCAAGCAUGUUUUCAUUAAUCAAGAACGAAAGUCUGGGGAUCG
rnacentral:rRNA from 1 species